rnacentral:lncRNA from 1 species
UGGGUCCAGAAUUUUAAAGGAAAGUAGUGAUUUGGUCCAGCUGGAAAAGGUUAAAAAUUAGCACUUCGGAAGCUGUCAAAAGAUUUCAAGACGCCCUAAACAUAAAAUUGUCCAUAUUUUGAGUUAGAGCCGAUGAAGUUUUCUAUAAUUUUGAUAUAAUUUGUCCCAAAAGUAGUACAACACACUGUAAAAAUUUCAUUCAGAAAGCGCAGGUGGGAUUUUUUU